UGAACUCUUUAAGAAACGCAGC
rnacentral:miRNA from 1 species